CCCACCUGCACAGGUAGCAGAAAUAACACGCACAAAAGUCUAUAAAAUAUCUAAUGAGAGAUCAGGGAACUAUUAACUGUAUGUGCAUGUAAACUACACAUUAUAUGGCUGGGGCUCGGCUGAUCAGUAAAUUCACUUUUUUGUUUUAAAAGGGGGAAGUGUAAACACAGUACACUAUAAAACCAAAUAAUCUAACCUCUUCUCUUAGAUCCAGUUUGAGCCUCUCCAGCUCCUUGAUGAGUUGAUUCUUCAGUGCAGAUUGCUUCUUUGCAACCAGAGGCUGUCGACAGGUGGAACAUGGAAGUCUGAGUCAUGCUGGUUAUGUAUGCAAGAUAUCCACAAGUGAACCCAUGCCUCUGCACAGCAGUGAUUCGCAAACACCAGAGGUCAUCAUUUCAGUACAUACGCUAUUUUUGAGGUUGGGAAAUGUGUUUUUGAAGAAUGUGCGACCACCUUAACCCUCUAAAUUUCAAUUCAACAGAAUAGGAUUUUAUGAUUUGUGCUUGACAAUAAAAUUCAUAUAUUUGUAGAAAUGUUGAAGAUGCUACAAACAUGUUCAGCGUCAAGAACAAUGAGUUCCUCCUCAUCCUCAUUCAGUGGUUCCUCUUCCUCCAUGUCUGAGGAGUUUGCAAAGUGGGUUGGUGACCCAGCCUGGGAAGUAUUGCCCUGCUCUGAUACACAGAAAAAGCAUUGUUUUAUCGCCCUACAGUAUGUGUUAAAAGACUGUACUGAAGAUUUAUGCAAAACUCAAUUGUGCUUCUAACUCUAUCCCAUAUUCUAAUUAAGUGCUCACGUGGGAUCUUUAUGGAAAUUGCGGUUUUAUACUACAAUGGUUUUCUUUGCAAGGAAUCUUCCAAUCCAUGAGAUUUUAUAUCAAACAAACCAGUAUGUCUUGUUGCAGCAGGGCCUCCUUCAGCACCAGUCUUGUCAGCUUGAGACUGUGGGCCUACAUCAACAGGUUCUGAUUCUGGCUGAUGUGAGAACAAUGAAUCAAGUGCUCAUGAUCUUAAUUGAAUUGUUGAAAUUGAGGGGGGGGAGAUCUUGAAACAUUCUGGUUUGUCGGUUCCACAUAUUUACCUGUAGAGGAGACAUAUUUUCUCCAACGUAGUUUGCUCCUUGUUUGCCAUCCAGCGGAUCGGUUUGUUCCUCUUCUGCUAAUUGCUCUUUGGCUCUCUGCAUCGAGACUGAGCAGUCAGCAAUGAAACCACAAAAUUAGAGCUAGCCUACUUUAGCACGCAUUAAUUGAUUCCAAGACAUAUGGUUUAAUAGCACGCAUUAAUUGAUUCUAAGACAUAUGGUUUAACUGGCUAACGACUGGUUCGUGCCAAUAAGUUUAGCUAGCAUACCAUAGCAAACUAUGUACAGUAACUACUUGUCUUUAAAUCCGCACAAUUCAUGCCAAUAUUGAACAAACUUACACGAGUAUUCAGUAUUAAUUGACAACGUACGACCUUAAUCUUAUCUCAACAGCCUUUCGCGUCCGUAUAGCACAGCCGAAGAUUACGAGUUGCUCGGCAACCCUAAACUUCCGCUCGAGGAAGCGGCUGCCACUAACCAAAUUUGGCAAUUUGGCGUGUCUAAUAAUCAGAGGUGGUUUCUUAAAUUGAGUAGAAAUAUACUUGUGUAAAAUACUGCGGUAAUUAACUACAGUACUGCUCUAAGUAAAAUAGUUUAUUUACGUACAAAAAAAUAAAAAAUUAAAUGUUACUGUCAAUUAAUAGUAGCCUAUUAAUUUACAAAAUACCUUGUGUACAUAGAAAAAAAACACGUUACAUGUUGCGUGUUUUAGAGCAGAGCUCGUCUUUUAUGUUAUCAAAACAAAGUCCUUCGUGAACCCAGUUAAAGAAAAAGCUAAAUUAGAUAUAACUGAAAAAAUACACCGUACUUGUAUGUGAUUUUAAAAUAAGACCGCGACCCUACUGAGGAUAAGCGGUACGGAAGAUGAAUAAAUGAAUAAUAAUGCUAAUAUUAAUCUGAGAUUAUUAUCAUGGCCAGUUAAUGAACUAUAAAAUAAAUAGGCUCCAAAUAUAUAUAUUUUUUUACCCAACGUCAGAAGGGGCCGGGGCGUGCGUUUGCGAGCAACCCAGUUUCAAAAAUACUUUUGACACAAAAUAAAUUCAUCAUCUUAUCAAAGUGUGAAUGAUGCUACAUUUUAAUUACUAACAAAUAUAGUAUUACCUCCACAGCAUGUUGUUCCCCCCCCAAAAAAGAAAGAAAAAAAAUCCACUUAAAAAGGCCAAAAACUGCCUGAGGCUAAUGUCAGGCAAUGCCGUGAAAAGCGACAUGGCGUCCAUAAACCAUGUGACGUGAAUUUAACCAAUGUGGAGCAGUGUGAUGAAUUCAGUGUCCAGACUUUGCUACAACUUCGGAAAAGUAACAAGUCUAUUUUGAGAAAGGUGUACCAUGCCUCUUGCCGAGUCAGCUGGGAUAGGCUGCAGCAAGCCCGUGACCCUGGUGAGGAUAAGCGCUAAGGAAGCUGGAUGGAUAACAAAUGGUGAGGAUAAGCGGUAAGGAAGAUGGAUGGAUGGAUAACAAACUCAGUGAGGAUAAGCAGUAAGGAAGAUGGAUGGAUGGAUAACAAACUCAGAAAAUUACUAAAACAACCAGUUCAGGGUGUACCCCAACCCUUGCCCAAAGAGAGCUGGGAUAGGCUCCAGCACACCUGCGACCCUAGUGUGGAUAAGCGGUACAGAAAAUGGAUGGAUGGAUAGGGAUAAACAAGCGAAGGUUAUUGGUGCAAUUUAUAAAAACCUUAAUUCAGGAAGCUAAUGUCGAGGGACAAAAACAAUAGACUUGCUAUUUAUUUUUUUAAUCAUUUCAGAUUUUGCUUCAUAAACAAGGCAGAUACACAAUCACUUAAUUUGGCUUAAAAAUUGCACAUCCAUUUUUAACAGGUCAGUAAUAAUUCACAGAUACAAAUCACCGUGAUCUUCAUAUACCCUAAAAAAAAAAAAAUCACGAUUCCAUUUAUUUCAAAGUAGACAAAAACAGAAGCCACAUGCCACCUCAUGAAAAAAUAUUUAACAAAAAGCUGAGGCAUAUGGGUAAAUAACCACAAAAUGUAUUCUGUUGCAGCCCAUUAGUAUCCUUACAAUAAGGACAAGCAGUUUUAAUUCCUGUAAAUGUGUUGUAGCAAUUGUAACUAACAGUACAUCGCAACGGAUGAGUGUACCUUUUAGCAGAGAGGACUGGCACUAUAUGCCGCCCGAAUCGGAGGACUUUGGUUAACAGAAGUAUGACAUUCCCCCCCCCCCAGCAAGGUGCCCUAUAAGUCUAUACAUUCUUGGCAAGAGAGGCUUUACUAUUGAGUACCUUAGCAUCAUCAGAGUAUGGUCAAACUUAAAUGACAUGGCUCUUUGCAAGCACGAUCUUUGUUCAAGUUGUUUAACUCAAUCUACCUCCAACACUUAAGUGUUCAUUAAAAAUAAAUGAUAAUUACGCCACAAUUAUUGAGACAUACUGUACACUGCAUUUCAUCACAAGAAUGUGAAAAGGAAAACUCUUCUUUGUGCAGUCACUUGCAUA